GACGAACGCUGGCGGCGUGCUUAACACAUGCAAGUCGAACGGAAAGGCCCUGCUUUUGUGGGGUGCUCGAGUGGCGAACGGGUGUGUAACACGUGAGUAACCUGCCCUUGACUUUGGGAUAACUUCAGGAAACUGGGGCUAAUACCGGAUAGGAGCUCCUGCUGCAUGGUGGGGGUUGGAAAGUUUCGGCGGUUGGGGAUGGACUCGCGGCUUAUCAGCUUGUUGGUGGGGUAGUGGCUUACCAAGGCUGUGACGGGUAGCCGGCCUGAGAGGGUGACCGGCCACAGUGGGACUGAGAUACGGCACAGACCUCUGCGGGGGGGAGGAGUGGGGAAUAGUGCACAGUGGGCGGGAGCCUGAUGGAGCAACGGCGCGUGGGGGAUGACGGCCCUCGGGGUGUAAACCGCUUGCGCCUGUGACGAAGCGUGGGUGACGGUAAUGGGUAAAGAAGCACCGGCUAACUACGU
rnacentral:rRNA from 1 species